UUGAAAAUAUGGCUUAGUAGGUUUUUAUUUUGUUAUAAAUGCUUACAGUUCCCAGUGAACUGAAAAGAAAAGGGAAAAUAAAAGAGAAAAGAAAAUAAAUUUGGACCCUUCUUCUCUCCACGUUUGAACCCAGCCAUUGCCCAUUGUGCAUCUUUGUUCGUCCGGCCAUACCACUCCCAGCCACUUUGUCCAACCAACCGGAGCCCGACCCGAAGCUUUUGACCGUGUCGCACAUGAAGCCCAGCAGUGUCCAUUCGUGAGCCGCGAGUCACCUCCUCCAUUCAAGCCAUGUUGUGUGCCAUUCCCUAACCAAAUUAAUGUCGAGUGGGGGAUCUGAGCCUUGUCCUCACUGAUGAGUCAUGUUCGCCAUCGCUAUGCUCUCCAUUGGUGUUUUGGGUACUUGAAGGGUAAAUCUGAAUUUGGAAUUUUCUACAAGAGAGGAGGAGAUGAAAGACUUGUGCCUACACAGACAAUGACUAUGUCGAAGGACUUGGAUGACAGGAAAAACACUUCAUAAUGUGUUUCUUCUAUGUUCAAGAGUAGUAGCCUGACAUUUUCUAAGAAGCAGCCAGUGGUGAGUUUAUCCACUACAGAAGUCGAAUUCAUUGCUGCUACAUUAUGUGCAUGUCAAGCAAUAUGGUUGAAAAGGGUUUUGGCAAAGUUGAGUUGGAAGUAAUAAGAAGUUGCAACUAUUUUUUGCGACAACUUAGUGAUUAAACUUUCAAGAAAUCCAACAAUGCAUAAUUGCAUGAAGCAUAUAGAUUUUUUCUUUCUGGCCAUUCUGCUGAGGUGAAUGUGUGGCAGGAAAAAAUCUUUUGAUACCUUAUUCCUCACAAUAAUUUGUAAAAGUGAUUCACAUGUAUUCUUCACCACUAUCUGAUCAUAAGGCCUUGAUGUAAAGAUUGGUUGUCUUUUCUAACCAUCACCUUGAAUUUCUUGAAUACUUCAAAUGCUUCUAACUUUGCCUUGAUGUAAAAAUUAGUCGUCUUUUCUACCAUCA